UCUCCUUCACGCAGCCCUUCUCUAUCUCCUCUCCCCUUCUCUCUCCUCUGUGAAUUCAAAAAUUCUUCUUCUUCCCUCAUUUUCUCUUUCUUUUUCUCUAUUUUCUCCCAUUUAUUUCUCCAUUUCCGGCCUCCGACCACCGAAUUCAGCCCACGGCCGGCCAUGUCUACCCACCCUGACCUUUCUUUACAGCGGAGAUCGGUCCACCUCCGGCCUCCGACCACCGGAUUCAACCCACCGCCGCCCAGACCUGGCCACGAACAGCCUUUACGACAGAGAUCCGUCCACCAUUAUACUUGUUUUGACAAA
rnacentral:lncRNA from 1 species